rnacentral:rRNA from 1 species
UACGGGGGGAGCAAGCGUUGUUCGGAUUUACUGGGCGUAAAGGGCGCGUAGGCGGCCACCGCAAGUCAAUUGUGAAAUCUCCGGGCUUAACUCGGAAAGGUCAACUGAUACUGCGGGGCUAGAGUGCGGAAGGGGCAACUGGAAUUCUCGGUGUAGCGGUGAAAUGCGUAGAUAUCAGGAGGAAUACCAAUGGCGAAGGCAGUGCUCUGGGCUAACACUGACGCUGAGGUGCGAAAGCGUGGGUAGCGAACGGG